rnacentral:pre_miRNA from 1 species
AUCAAAUUUAGACCAUUGGUCUACCGAGCAAUAGCACCCGCUGGUGGAAGAUCUUCCAUUUGUCGU